CCCAUGGGCUAUGCCAACGCUGCAUAGCCUGUUCCGUUGGUGCCCAGGACAGGACGGUUGUAGGAGGCAGAGGUGGGUGAACCCUGUCCAGACCUGCUGUCCCUGGCAGUGUCCUGUGCACCUGGAGGUGCCCACCAGCCUGCCCUCACAGGGACCUGCAGAGGUGACCCGCUCUUCGGGCAUCUUGAAUCAAGAUUUGCUUUUGUUCACAUCUGCACUGUGGUUUGAAGUCUGGAAGAUACUGAGAGAAGAGCUAUAAGUGUGAAACAGUGACAUGUCCCAGUCUUCAGAGAACAACAUGGUCAAAGAAGCAAGUGACUGCACUCUUAGCCCCUUCCCAUUCCCCCCUUGCUAUUAAACCUGAGGGUCUCAGAAUCCUUGCAUCACUGCCUGGAAGGCAGCAGUGUUGAAGGUGUACAUGAGCUCAAGUCAUAUCCUUUCUCAAGGAGCCCAAGAGAAGUUUCAUCCUAGAGUAUACAAAUGGAAAAUUAAAAACAGACUCAGGCAAAGUUGUUAUUCUCAGAAAAUACUGGUUAAUUGAAACAGAAAUCUUGCGUGGAGUUGUCCCUAUUUCAACAAGGUUUUGCCAGGAAAAGUUUCACAUUUCUAGGUUUAAGUGCCUAGCCAAGCCAGAGAGGUCACACAGGAGGAGCCUGGAACCUGUGAGCCAAGUUACUCAGCUGGGACUGGUGGCACGGAGAAGGAGCCCUAUGGCGAAGUCAUCCUUCUGAAUCAAAGAGAGCAGAGGCUGGAAAAGAGGAGGCUAAUGUUCCAGAGGAGCAACUCUAAUUGAGGGUGAUGUCUUGCUUUUGUGUUUAAAGAAGAAUCGGGAACAGGGAAGGCCGUUAUCCCAAUGUGGUCUUGGUUCAGUCUGGGUGUGGAAUAGGAAUGCUUUCUUAGCAAGUAAUGCAGGAUAGAAGACUAGUUUUCUGACUAGUCCUGAGGAUCAACAUGAAGAUUGUUCAGAUCUUGUGUGCAAGAAGCUACACAGGGCAGGACUGAUUUUCAGAGGAAACAGUGGAGAAGCUAACUUCUUGUAAU